AAGGAAUAUUGGUCAAUGGACGCAAGUCUGAACCAGCCAUGCCGCGUGAAGGAUGAAGGUCCUCUGGAUUGUAAACUUCUUUUAUCUGGGACGAAAACGGGAUUUUUAUCUCAAUUGACGGUACCAGAGGAAUAAGCACCGGCUAACUCCGUGCCAGCAGCCGCGGUAAUACGGAGGGUGCGAGCGUUAUCCGGAUUUACUGGGUUUAAAGGGUGCGUAGGUGGGCUUAUAAGUCAGUGGUGAAAUCUCCGAGCUUAACUUGGAAACUGCCGUUGAUACUUUAGGUCUUGAAUUAUCUGGAGGUAAGCGGAAUAUGUCAUGUAGCGGUGAAAUGCUUAGAUAUGACAUAGAACACCAAUUGCGAAGGCAGCUUACUACAUAUAAAUUGACGCUGAGGCACGAAAGCGUGGGGAUCAAACA
rnacentral:rRNA from 1 species